UUUAAAUGUUGAUGGGCUUCUUUUGUUUAAAAAUUCUGCAAAAAUGUAUGGCCAGUGUUGUGUGCCAUUUUGAAUAUCAAACCUGUUUUAGUGUUUCCUAUUGUCCUAACAUGUGGUGACUCCAAGCCAAAAGACUUGGAGUUUUUGGAUGAGUUUAUAGAAGAUUUGAAGGGUAUUCUAGAGACGAGAGUCCAAGAUGGGGAAAAGGUUCUAACUGUUACAAAAUUUGCCGGUGUACAGCGAGCUGAUCUCCCUUGCAGAAAAAGAUUUAUAUGACGGUGAACUAGCACCAGAAAUCCAAAACACAAAGCAUCAUGCAAUAACUUCC